rnacentral:rRNA from 1 species
AUACACAACGCUCUGCCACUCAAGAGAAUUGGGCAUCCCGUCCGCUCUGCCAUACACAAGCUUGAGAUCGGUGGAUUAGUAGUUGGGUGGGUGACCACCAGCGAAUACCCACUGUUGUAUGUU